rnacentral:rRNA from 1 species
AUGAACGCUGGCGGCGUGCCUAAUACAUGCAAGUCGAGCGAACAGACGAGGAGCUUGCUCCUCUGACGUUAGCGGCGGACGGGUGAGUAACACGUGGAUAACCUACCUAUAAGACUGGGAUAACUUCGGGAAACCGGAGCUAAUACCGGAUAAUAUAUUGAACCGCAUGGUUCAAUAGUGAAAGACGGUUUUGCUGUCACUUAUAGAUGGAUCCGCGCCGCAUUAGCUAGUUGGUAAGGUAACGGCUUACCAAGGCAACGAUGCGUAGCCGACCUGAGAGGGUGAUCGGCCACACUGGAACUGAGACACGGUCCAGACUCCUACGGGAGGCAGCAGUAGGGAAUCUUCCGCAAUGGGCGAAAGCUUGACGGAGCAACGCCGCGUGAGUGAUGAAGGUCUUCGGAUCGUAAAACUCUGUUAUUAGGGAAGAACAAAUGUGUAAGUAACUAUGCACGUCUUAACGGUACCUAAUCAGAAAGCCACGGCUAACUACGUG